CAGCUACCUACCUCCAGAUUCCUUGUUUUGGGAGAAAACGAGCUGCAGCAGCCAUCUUGCUCCUAAAGUGGACAUCACAUGUUAGGACAAUGAGCAACAAGACAGAAGGAGCCUGGGGCCCAGCCAGGCACCAGGAAGCCACCCAAGCAGCUCUAGACUCCUCAUAGAUAGUGAGAAAUAAAAUCUGCUCUCCUUUGG